AUUGAACGCUGGCGGCAGGCCUAACACAUGCAAGUCGAGCGGAUGAAGGGAGCUUGCUCCUGGAUUCAGCGGCGGACGGGUGAGUAAUGCCUAGGAAUCUGCCUGGUAGUGGGGGAUAACGUCCGGUAACGGGCGCUAAUACCGCAUACGUCCUGAGGGAGAAAGUGGGGGAUCUUCGGACUUCACGCUAUCAGAUGAGCCUAGGUCGGAUUAGCUAGUUGGUGGGGUAAAGCCCUACCAAGGCGACGAUCCGUAACUGGUCUGCGCGGAUGAUCAGACACACUGGAAGUGGGACACGGGCCAGACUCCUACGGGAGGCAGGAGUGGAGAAUAUUGGACGAUGGGAGAAGGCCUGAUUCAACCAUGCCGCGUGUGAAGAAGGUCUUCGGAUUGUAAAGCACUUUAAGUUGGGAGGAAGGAAAGUAAGUUAAUACCUUGAUGUUUUGACGUUACCAACAGAAUAAGCACCGGCUAACUUCGUG
rnacentral:rRNA from 1 species